GAUAUCAACAUGUUCCCUUGGUGCAGAUCUUGGUGGUAGUAGCAAAUAUUCAAAUGAGGACUUUGAAGAGUGAAGUGGGGAAAUGUUCCAUGUGAACAUCACUUGGACAUGGGUUAGUUGAUCCUCAGAGAUGGGGAAUCCUUGUAUCAAUGGUGCACUCUGCAUGAACAUUGAAAGAUAAUUGGGUUAAUAUUCCUGAACCGAGAAAUGGUGGUGGACGACAAUGUUAGGAAAUAUGGAUAUGUCAUCGGGGGCCUGGGAAGAGUUAUAUUUUCUUUUUAAUGACUUUACCACCCUGAAAUCAGUUCAACCAGAUAUAGGUUCCAACAUAUGGAAGAGCGCCACAUGUCUUGCGGUGUUUGGUGCACCUUCGACGACCAUUGAAAAUGUGGAGAACCGAGUACCAUCCAUGCCCGAUCAUACUCAUAUCUACCUCCUUAGAUUUUUC
rnacentral:ncRNA from 1 species